CCCUCCAUGGCCAAGAAUUGCUCAAGCUUUCUUUCUUCCAUAACUUGGUCAAAUCUCCACCGAAUCCAACGAUUUUUGUCUUGAAACUUGUUGGAAAACACCUCCUAAACACAUUGGUACCACUCUUGAGCCUUGAAAUCGCGUGUGUGAGGAGAUCUUGGCCAUUUACAGCUGCGGUUUUGGUGAGGAAUUUUGUGUUCUUGGAGCUUCCAAGUGCUCCAAUGGUGGAGUAUAGUUAGGAGGAGCCUUGUACCUUCCAUUUGGGUUGCCGUACAUCGACCUGAAUCCCGAAUCUUGAAUCAGUAAAUUGCCCUUGGUCCGGGACCAAGUGGAUUGAGGCAUUCCGCUGUGUACCGAGUUGAGGGAUAAGCUGCUACGGAGCUUGUGGAAACACGAAUUAAGGAGGUAGCAGUGGAGCAGGAGCCUCGGGCAAGAGGCCCGCAGAGUGAGCGCUGGAGCGCUUCAUAUUUUGCAUUUUGUUGGCCGUGUGGCCUAGGCUAGACUUAGGGCAUGAACAUGUCAUUUGUAUUUAUUAGUAGC